rnacentral:rRNA from 1 species
GACGAACGCUGGCGGCGUGCCUAAUACAUGCAAGUAGAACGCUGAAGAGAGGAGCUUGCUCUUCUUGGAUGAGUUGCGAACGGGUGAGUAACGCGUAGGUAACCUGCCUUGUAGCGGGGGAUAACUAUUGGAAACGAUAGCUAAUACCGCAUAACAAUGGAUGACACAUGUCAUUUAUUUGAAAGGGGCAAUUGUUCCACUACAAGAUGGACCUGCGUUGUAUUAGCUAGUAGGUGAGGUAAUGGCUCACCUAGGCGACGAUAUAUAGCCGACCUGAGAGGGUGAUCGGCCACACUGGGACUGAGACACGGCCCAGACUCCUACGGGAGGCAGCAGUAGGGAAUCUUCGGCAAUGGGGGCAACCCUGACCGAGCAACGCCGCGUGAGUGAAGAAGGUUUUCGGAUCGUAAAGCUCUGUUGUAAGUCAAGAACGGGUGUGAGAGUGGAAAGUUCACACUGUGACGGUAGCUUACCAGAAAGGGACGGCUAACUACGUG